UUAGACUUAGCGGCGGACGGGUGAGUAACGCGUGGGUAACCUGCCUUACACUGGGGGAUAACAGUUAGAAAUGACUGCUAAUACCGCAUAAGCGCACAGGGCCGCAUGGUCUGGUGUGAAAAACUCCGGUGGUGUAAGAUGGACCCGCGUCUGAUUAGGUAGUUGGUGGGGUAACGGCCCACCAAGCCGACGAUCAGUAGCCGACCUGAGAGGGUGACCGGCCACAUUGGGACUGGGACACGGCCCAA
rnacentral:rRNA from 1 species